rnacentral:tRNA from 1 species
GGUCUCAUGGCUCAGAUGGGUAAAGCGUACGGCCAACAAUCGUAAGGCCUGCGGUUUGAGCCCGCGUGGGACCA